rnacentral:rRNA from 1 species
CAAUAGCGUAUAUUUAAGUUGUUGCAGUUAAAAAGCUCGUAGUUGGAUUUCUGCUGAUCGCUGUCGGUCUGCCGUCAGGUGUGUACUGGCAGUGUUUGGCAUCUAUUCGAGAUUGGGUGUCCACUUGAUUGUGUGCACUCGAUGUCGGAGCUAAUACUUUGAGAAAAUUAGAGUGUUCCACGCAGGCGCGUGCCUUGAAUACUGCAGCACGGGAUAUUGGAAGGCCGAUUGAGCUUUCUUGUUGGUUCUCGGUUUGAUCGGAAUGAUUAAUAGGGAUAGUUGGGGGCAUUCGUAUUCAACUGUCAGAGGUGAAAUUCUUGGAUUUGUUGAAGACGGACUACUGCGAAAGCAUCUGCCAUGGAUGUUCUCAUUGA